rnacentral:rRNA from 1 species
CCCUAGUACGGCGAGUGAAGCGGCAACAGCUCAAAUUUGAAAUCUGGCGUCUUUGGCGUCCGAGUUGUAAUUUGCAGAGGGCGCUUUGGCAUUGGCAGCGGUCCAAGUUCCUUGGAACAGGACGUCACAGAGGGUGAGAAUCCCGUACGUGGUCGCUAGCCUUUACCGUGUAAAGCCCCUUCGACGAGUCGAGUUGUUUGGGAAUGCAGCUCUAAAUGGGAGGUAAAUUUCUUCUAAAGCUAAAUACUGGCCAGAGACCGAUAGCGCACAAGUAGAGUGAUCGAAAGAUGAAAAGCACUUUGGAAAGAGAGUUAAAAAGCACGUGAAAUUGUUGAAAGGGAAGCGCUUGCAGCCAGACUUGCCUGUAGUUGCUCAUCCGGGUUUUUACCCGGUGCACUCUUCUAUAGGCAGGCCAGCAUCAGUUUGGGCGGUUGGAUAAAGGUCUCUGUCACGUACCUCCUCUCGGGGAGAACUUAUAGGGGAGACGUAAUGCAACCAGCCUGGACUGAGGUCCGCGCAUCUGCUAGGAUGCUGGCGUAAUGGCUGUAAGCGGCCCGUCUUGAAACACGGACCAAGGAGUCUAACAUCUAUGCGAGUGUUUGGGUGUCAAGCCCGAGCGCGUAAUGAAAGUGAACGGAGGUGGGAACCUUUCGGGGUGCACCAUCGACCGAUCCUGAUGUCUUCGGAUGGAUUUGAGUAAGAGCAUAGCUGUUGGGACCCGAAAGAUGGUGAACUAUGCUUGAAUAGGGUGAAGCCAGAGGAAACUCUGGUGGAGGCUCGCAGCGGUUCUGACGUGCAAAUCGAUCGUCAAAUUUGGGCAUAGGGGCGAAAGACUAAUCGAACUAUCUAGUAGCUGGUUCCUGCCGAAGUUUCCCUCAGGAUAGCAGUAACGUUUUCAGUUUUAUGAGGUAAAGCGAAUGAUUAGAGGCCUGGGGGUUGAAACAACCUUCACCUAUUCUCAAACUUUAAAUAUGUAAGAAGUCCUUGUUACUUAAUUGAACGUGGACAGUUGAAUGUAUCGUUACUAGUGGGCCAUUUUUGGUAAGCAGAACUGGCGAUGCGGGAUGAACCGAACGCGGGGUUAAGGUGCCAGAAUAUACGCUCAUCAGACACCACAAAAGGUGUUAGUUCAUCUAGACAGCAGGACGGUGGCCAUGGAAGUCGGAAUCCGCUAAGGAGUGUGUAACAACUCACCUGCCGAAUGAACUAGCCCUGAAAAUGGAUGGCGCUCAAGCGUAUUACCCAUACCCCGCCGCUGGGGCAAGAUUUAAGCCCCAGCGAGUAGGCAGGCGUGGAGGUCCGUGACGAAGCCU